GGGUUUUUUUGGGGUUUCUUUGGGAUUUCUUUGGAAUUUUUUUGGGAUUUUUUUGGGAUUUUUUUUGAAUUAUUUUUAAAUUUUUUGGGGAUUUUUUGGGGGAUUUUUUGGGAUUUUUUGGGGAUUUUUUUGGGAUUUUUUUUAGAUUUCUUUGGGAUUUUUUGGGAUUUUUUUCAGGAUUUUUUGGAAUUUUUUUGGGGAUUUUUUGGGAUUUUUUGGGGUUUUUUGGGGAUUUUAUUUUGGAUUUUUUUGGGAUUUUUUGGGGGAUUUUUUGAGGAUUUUUUGGGAUUUCUUUGGGAUCUUUUUGGGAUUUUUUUUUUAUUUUUUUUGAAUUUUUGGGGGAUUUUUCGGGGAUUUUUUUGGGGAUUUUUUGAGGAUUUUUUGGGGAUUUUUUUGGGGAUUUUUUGGUGGAUUUUGGGGUGAGGAAAUGAGGAUUUUGGAGUGUGGGGGAGGGGCCAGGUGUGUCCAGGUGUGUCCCCAGGUGUGUCCAGGUGUCCCCAGGUGCGUUCCAGACCAGGUUCCAGAACGUUCUAGAGGUUCUAGACUCGGUUCUAGAUCGGGUUCUAGAUCGGGUUCUAGAACGUUCUAGGUACGUUCCAGAUCAGGUUCUAGAACGUUCUAGAUCGGGUUCUAGGUGUGCUCUAGGUACGUUCUAGAGGUUCUAGAUCACGUUCUAGAACGUUCUAGACUCGGUUCUAGACUCGGUUCUCGAUCGGGUUCCGGACUGUUCCAGAACCGGUUCCAGACUGGGUUCCAGAGCAGGUUCCAGACUGGGUCCCCAGGUGUGUCCAGGUGUGUCCCAGGUGUCCCCAGGUGUGUCCAGGUGUCCCCAGGUGUGUUCAGGUGUUCUCCAGGUGUGUUCAGGUGUGUCCAGGUGUUCUCCAGGUGUAUCUCAGGUGUAUUUUAGGUGUCCCCAGCUGUUCUAGGUGUAUCUCAGGUGUCCCCAGGUGUGUCCAGGUGUCCCCAGGUGUCCCCAGGUGUAUCCAGGUGUAUCUCAGGUGUCCCCAGCUGUUCCAGGUGUCCCCAGGUGUGUCCCAGGUGUAUCUCAGGUGUCCCCAGGUGUAUCUCAGGUGUAUCUCAGGUGUGUCCCCAGCUGUCCCCAGGUGUCCCCAGGUGUCCCCAGGUGUCCCAGGUGUCCCCUGUCCCCGCAGGAAGAUCCAGGAGGAAUCUCUCCGCACGUACCUGUUCACCUACAGCAGCGUCUACGACUCCAUCAGGUGGAUUUGGGCUGAAAAACGGGGA
rnacentral:lncRNA from 1 species